CUAUACAUGACUCUGCGCAUAUCAAUAAGCGGAGGAAAAGCAUACCACCGAUGAUAUGAUGUUCACCGUGGAAACCGUUUCCUGUCUGGGUACCUACGCUUAGGAUGUUGACGAGACUGUCGUUCUCAUCUAUACAUGACUCUACGCAUAUCAAUAAGCGGAGGAAAAGAAACUAACAAGGAUUCCCCUAGUAACGGCGAGUGAAGCGGGAAGAGCUCAAAUUUGAAAUCUUAAAGGGUUUCCCUUUACGAAUUGUAGUUUAAAGAAGUGGUUUCUGUUGAGGUUUUGGUAAAAGUUCUUUGGAAUAGGACAUCAUAGAGGGUGAGAAUCCCGUAUUUGACCUUUACUUUCAACUUUGUGAUACACUUUCAAAGAGUCGGAUUGUUUGGGAAUGCAGUCCAAAAUGGGUGGUAAAUUUCAUCUAAAGCUAAAUAUUGGCGAGGAGACCGAUAGCGAACAAGUACCGUGAGGGAAAGAUGAAAAGAACUUUGAAAAGAGAGUUAAACAGUACGUGAAAUUGUCAAAAGGGAAGCGUUUGACACCAGUGUUGUUUUUCUGAAAAUCAAUUAAGGAACUGUUUAUGCUAAGUUGUUUAGACUUUAUCAGCUAACUGUUUAGUUUUGAGCUUUUCUUUAAUGCACUUUUCAGUUAACAAGUCAACAUCAAUUUCUUUUGCUGUAAAAAAGCUUGAGGAAGGUGGCUUGAGAUUCGUCUUAAGUGUUUAUAGCCUCUUGCCUAUGCAGUCGGAGAGAUUGAGGUCUGCAGCGUAGAUCCUUCGGGGCUAAAUGCAUUUGUGCUAAGUUAUAGCAUUUUAUAGACAACUUGUUGACUAUGAUUUGUCUUGUAGCUUACUCGCUUAUGUUAUUUUACCUACGCUUAGGAUGUUGAGCGCAUGUCUCUCUCU
rnacentral:rRNA from 1 species